rnacentral:rRNA from 1 species
GUAAGGAAUAUUGGUCAAUGGACGAAAGUCUGAACCAGCCAUGCCGCGUGGAGGAUGAAGGUCCUCUGGAUUGUAAACUUCUUUUAUAUGGGACGAAAAUGGGGCUUUCUAGCUCAACUGACGGUACCAUAUGAAUAAGCACCGGAUAACUCCGUGCCAGCAGCCGCGGUAAUACGGAGGGUGCAAGCGUUAUCCGGAUUCACUGGGUUUAAAGGGUGCGUAGGUGGAUUGGUAAGUCAGAGGUGAAAUCUCCGGGCUCAACUCGGAAACUUCCUUUGAUACUAUCAAUCGUGAAUAUUGUGGAGGUUAGCGGAAUAUGUCAUGUAGCGGUGAAAUGCUUAGAUAUGACAUAGAACACCAAUUGCGAAGGCAGCUGGCUACACAUAUAUUGACACUGAGGCACGAAAGCGUGGGGAUCAAACAGGAUUAGAAACCCCGGUAGUCC